rnacentral:rRNA from 1 species
AUUGAACGCUGGCGGCAUGCCUUACACAUGCAAGUCGAACGGUAACGCGGGGCAACCUGGCGACGAGUGGCGAACGGGUGAGUAAUACAUCGGAACGUGCCCAGUAGUGGGGGAUAGCCCGGCGAAAGCCGGAUUAAUACCGCAUACGACCUACGGGUGAAAGCGGGGGAUCGCAAGACCUCGCGCUAUUGGAGCGGCCGAUGUCAGAUUAGCUAGUUGGUGGGGUAAAGGCCUACCAAGGCGACGAUCUGUAGCUGGUCUGAGAGGACGACCAGCCACACUGGGACUGAGACACGGCCCAGACUCCUACGGGAGGCAGCAGUGGGGAAUUUUGGACAAUGGGGGCAACCCUGAUCCAGCCAUGCCGCGUGCGGGAAGAAGGCCUUCGGGUUGUAAACCGCUUUUGUCGGGGAAGAAACGGUCUGCGCUAAUACCGCGGACUAAUGACGGUACCCGAAGAAUAAGAGGUUGCUAACUCUGUGCCAGCAGCCGCCGUAA